rnacentral:miRNA from 1 species
AUAUUAAUUUCGGCAACCAUA